AGCCAAUCCUAUCCUCCCCUCAGUCACGUACCAGUCGUCGCACAAAUCCUAGCCCCCAUUCCCCUCGAUCCCCACAGUCUCUCCGCUCCCGUCACCACGUCCUCCGCCAUGGAGCCUCGCCGCCACGUGCGUCUCCCUUCUCCACCAUGCUGCCCUUCCACCUCGCCUUCCUCCUCUUCUUUGUCUAUGCGGCCAUCGGUGGCGGCUGGUUCCAAAUCGGGCGCGGAUUAGCCGAGCCCGGUGGUGAGGUGAAGGAGAAGGGUGGGCGGCCCGUCGCGAUGGGAUGGGGCUAGGGAAGAGGGAGGAGGCCGAAGGGUGAAGGAGCAGGCCGGCCCUCACGGUCACAUAGGCGCCGCCGCUGUCCAGGGUCGUUCGCCGUCACCGGCCUCACUCGCCUCGUCUCCUAUCUCUUCACCACUGCAUCCAUGUGAAUUUUUGGAGAAUGGUGCUCCGAUUUGGUCCCCAUGCUGCAGGCCUGCAACAUUUAUAGAGGAGGAUUGCAGGUGUCGAUACAAUGGAGCAAUUUCUGGCUUUGUUGUUGGAGCAUAGCCUCGAUUAUGCAUGAUUUUGGGGAAAGUUCCUGGUGGUCCUAUCUCGGAUCAGUUCCUUUGCUUUCCUGCUAACCUUCUUUUCCUUCUUCAUCAGGUUUUGCUCUCUCCCUGUGUGCUACACAUUUCUGCUCUCCCCAGUAGCAAUUGGAUGUUAAUCUGCUAUGGGAAGCGGCGGUGCAUCAAGGUGCAAGGCAGCAACGACAUGUUCAUAGUACGCUAAAGGAUGAACUCCUACUUUUUCUGAUGCUAGCUCCUUGCUGCAGAUAUACCAGCCUGCUUACAUCUCCCAAGAUAUCCUCUUGGUCAAGGCAAUUGCACAUGAUGAAGCCACUCAUUUUAGUUGUAGGAUAUGAAUUGUGCUUAAACAUGAGUGCUCGCUCGCCGAACGUUGGCCCUCGGAUGAAUUCGACGCUUGAAUUGAGCUGACGAGCCCCAUGGGUGGAGCUGCAGGGGGUGAGAGGCGGAUAACAAUACGAGAAGGAGCAUGCCAUCGAGGAGUGCAAGCAGCGGCACUCCUCCGCAAUGGGGUAUGGCUGCAGGAUAGGGGACGUGGCCAACGACAGGAAGAAGGAGCAGGUCGUCGAGGACUACAAGCAGCAUGUUUCCUUUGACUGGAAGUCUGAAACUGAAGAUAGGGCAUAUUGUUUUGGUUCUGAGUGGCCGGAGAUAUUGUGGCUUGAUGUACCUAGAGCAGUCGGACCCUUCCAAGAUAGAAGAUCUUUGGGAUUGACGUUCUGAUGAGAAAGUAGCAUACGGAUGGAUGGACAUGAACUAUUCAGUGGUCGAACUGUGCUAUAUUUCUUUCAUUGAGGCGAGAGUGAUUCCAGUAGAUUUUGCUUGGCGUACUCGCCUUUUUUAUUAAAGUUGGGUGUCCGUCUUCUCUGCGGCAAGGAUCUGGGGAGUCAGAUUGUGGAUUACAUGUAGUGGGGAAGUAGAGAGGGGGACGAGGAAGAGGACACCGUUGGUGGCGUGCUAUAUCUCACUAGGCGACAAUGUCGAGAGGGUGCCUGGCAUCAAGAACCCGACAUGCUUUUCCGAGUGUUCGUUGAGGAAAUGACUUUAUUUAUUGGAAAAUGGCAAUAUCAUUUACAAGUACACAUGAAACAAACUAUUUUUCCUACACCUCUUUGUGUGAUGGUGCUCUUGGUUGAGUGUGCUGACGAAAGAGAUUCCAUGCUACAAGCUAGAUCUAUGCUGUCGCGGCAACACAGGCCAAUACACAUUCAGGAAAUAUGUCACCAACUUCCCCAAGGUCCCGCAUCGUCUACUCAGGAUAUUCUUUGCCCCAAGCCCUACAGAAUAAUGCCCAGUCUAAUUUCAGCAGUGGGCAUGACAGCCUCAAACUUCUCUCUUCAAUAUUGAAGAAGCGGCUUACUCAGAUCAAUGGGCAUGCACUUAGAAAAAUAGCUAAAGAGUACGAGAUAUUCCUAGAGUAAAUAAAGGGCAUGCUGUGCUCAUAAGUUAGCAGAAGCAAAAUGCUAUUUAUUAUGCUCCUGUUGUAUCCUCGGACAUUUUCUUCCACCUACCAAUACCCCAGUAUUGAAUAUCUACUUUCCCAGCGUCGUACAGAAACUGAUGUUAGUAUUUGUGCAUACUCUUUGUCUUAAGUGGGCUUUCUUUUAAAAAAGCAUGCCUUUAUGUUACCCAAAUAACAUAACAAAUUAUGCAUCCUCAAGUAUAUAUUUUUAA